CCUCGGAUCAGGUAGGGAUACCCGCUGAACUUAAGCAUAUCAAUAAGCGGAGGAAAAGAAACCAACCGGGAUUGCCUCAGUAACGGCGAGUGAAGCGGCAAGAGCUCAAAUUUGAAAGCUGGCUCCUUCGGGGUCCGCAUUGUAAUUUGCAGAGGAUGCUUCGGGCGCGGCCCCCGUCUAAGUGCCCUGGAACGGGCCGUCGGAGAGGGUGAGAAUCCCGUCUGGGACGGGGUGUCCGUGUCCGUGUGAAGCUCCUUCAACGAGUCGAGUUGUUUGGGAAUGCAGCUCUAAUUGGGUGGUAAAUUUCAUCUAAAGCUAAAUAUUGGCCGGAGACCGAUAGCGCACAAGUAGAGUGAUCGAAAGAUGAAAAGCACUUUGAAAAGAGAGUUAAACAGCACGUGAAAUUGUUGAAAGGGAAGCGCUUGCGACCAGACUCGCUCGCGGGGUUCAGCGGGCCUUCGGGCCCGUGUACUUCCCCGUGGGCGGGCCAGCGUCGGUUUGGGCGGCCGGUCAAAGGCCUCCGGAAUGUAGCACCCUUCGGGGUGCCUUAUAGCCGGGGGUGCAAUGCGGCCUGCCUGGACCGAGGAACGCGCUUCGGCACGGACGCUGGCAUAAUGGUCGUAAGCGACC
rnacentral:rRNA from 1 species